rnacentral:rRNA from 1 species
CACGCAGGCGGAUUGAUAAGUCAGGGGUGAAAUCCCGGGGCUCAACCUCGGAAUUGCCUUUGAUACUGUCUGUCUUGAGUUCGGGAGAGGUUGGCGGAAUUCCUAGUGUAGAGGUGAAAUUCGUAGAUAUUAGGAAGAACACCAGUGGCGAAGGCGGCCAACUGGCCCGAAACUGACGCUCAUGUGCGAAAGCGUGGGGAGCAAACAGGAUUAGAUACCCUGGUAGUCCACGCCGUAAACUAUGGAUGCUAGCCGUUGGAGAGCUUGCUCUUCAGUGGCGCAGCUAACGUCUUAAGCAUCCCGCCUGGGGAGUACGGUCGCAAGAUUAAA